UAGAGUUUGAUCAUGGCUCAGAUUGAACGCUGGCGGCAGGCCUAACACAUGCAAGUCGAGCGGCAGCGACUUAACUGAACCUUCGGGGAACGUUAAGGGCGGCGAGCGGCGGACGGGUGAGUAAUGCCUGGGAAUAUGCCUCAGUGUGGGGGAUAACUAUUGGAAACGAUAGCUAAUACCGCAUAAUCUCCGAUCUUUUACGAGAUGGGAGCAAAGCGGGGGACCUUCGGGCCUCGCGCGCUGAGAUUAGCCCAGGUGGGAUUAGCUUGUUGGUGAGGUAAUGGCUCACCAAGGCAACGAUCCCUAGCUGGUCUGAGAGGAUGAUCAGCCACACUGGAACUGAGACACGGUCCAGACUCUUACGGGAGGCAGCAGUGGGGAAUAUUGCACAAUGGGGGAAACCCUGAUGCAGCCAUGCCGCGUGUGUGAAGAAGGCCUUCGGGUUGUAAAGCACUUUCAGUAGGGAGGAAGGUAGUGUAGUUAACACCUGCAUUAUUUGACGUUACCUACAGAAGAAGCACCGGCUAACUCCGUGCCAGCAGCCGCGGUAAUACGGAGGGUGCGAGCGUUAAUCGGAAUUACUGGGCGUAAAGCGCAUGCAGGCGGCCUGUUAAGUCAGAUGUGAAAGCCCGGGGCUUAACCUCGGAAUUGCAUUUGAAACUGGCAGGCUAG
rnacentral:rRNA from 1 species